AUGUGGAGAGUGAAGUUUCUGUUUCAUCAAGGCCGGGUCGGACUUGAUGUUUGAAAUACUGACCGACAGCUCAGAUUUAACUGUCUGUAGUUCCGUUUUGAUGGAUGUUAAACUUUCACUCAAAGCCGCCAGGAGCUGAGUCUUUAAAAUAACCACCAUCUCGUUACAGAGUGAAAGCAGCAGUUCCUCCUGAAGGUCAGAGAUUGCAGCAUCUGAGGACCUCUUCAAAAGAAGACGUAGUUGAUGAAGGCGUUCUGGAGCAGGACCAGAAAGACCACGACCAAGCAGCCUUGAGAUCUUAGGCAGCGUCUCCCUCAGGUCCCUCUCUAUCUCCACACAUCCACCAACCACUGGAACUCAUCUCCAAAGUUCUGCUGGGCCAGCUCAGCUUCCCCUCAGAAGAAGUGCUGCCACCUGCCAGAUGAAGGAGCCUUCUGAGAGGCAGCUGGCAUCGUGAUUGGACUGUACUUUGGUCUGUUCCAAUCCAGCUUCAGCUCCAGAGACGGCAGGCGGGACGAGUCAACGGAGGCCUGGUGGACGAAGACAUGCAGCUGAGUACAAUCCAGAAAACAACAGAGGAGGAGUGCAGCGGCCCAGGACCAGAACAACCAGAAUAGCAUGACCAAAGAACUACAGACUCUUCACAACCUGCUCAAACUCUUGGUACAGGACCUCACCACACGGGUCAAGAAGGUUUCUGUCUCAUUUCUACUCUGAAGCUCACCUUCUCCUGCUCAAACUGCUGACAAAUGUUUCUGCUGCUCUAAAGUCUGGUCUCCAGAAGUUCCUAAAAACUCUCAAAGUCUCUUCUGCUGCAGGUUGCUUUGUAGAACUGUUGCAGAAAACCUCACUAAACCACAUGGAGGGGCCUCAAGAUAGUCGUCCAAAUGAAACCAUACAAAAACCAAACUAGCACAACCCAAACGCUAAAGUCUCCUGCAGCCUACCAGAGAACCUCUGAGAACAGAGAAUCAGGACAGGAACUCUUACCUUCUGGACAACCAACGUUGGUUCACAAACAAGAAUACAGAACGUGUCUGACCAGAAACCUCUAAAGACUCACUACAGCCAAGAUAAAGACACAACUCAGCUGCAACAAAUCCACUAAUCACUGCACACAUUAGCACCAUGUGCUAACUGUGGCUAAAGAACCACAUUUGCCAAGAUAACUAUUCAGUACAAAGCCCUAAAACACACCAAGAAACACAUUAAAGACGAUUUUACUGCUGGAAGAUGCAAGCCAACGCCUAAAGAACAAACUAAAGCAACGGAACCAAACCCGGUUCAGUGCUGAAGAGAAGCAGAGGAAAUGUUUGGCUGCAGCUAAAUAAAGCAGGAAGACACUGAGCUGCUCAGGUGUUCCUGAUAACACCAAGCAGCCACCUGGACAGCCAAUAGGAACACAGCUUACUGGAAGUCCAGAGGGCUGGCUUAGUGAAGGAAAUUUAGUUUAAAGUUGAAGCACAAAGUUAACAAAGAAAGUUGAAAACCACCUUCUGAUCCCUGAACACAAAGAACACCUGAACAUGUGAAACUGGUUCCAUAGUAGAACCAUCAUUGUAAAAACGUCAUAGUAUGGCGUUAGGACCCGGUUGUCUAGGGUCGCUGAUGAGCAACACAAAAACAGGACAAACGCUGCUUUCCAGGGGGUUAGGAGGCUAUUUAUUUGAAAGAGGAAGUUUACAACAACACAACAUGUGAGCAGAAAAAUCACAAAGUCUGUCUUUAGUUCAGCUGAAAAUAUUAGUUUUUGUCUUUUUAUUGACCAAACUUUUCAGGAAGUAGAUGAAGAAUAAUUAAAGCUCUCAUGUAGAAGUCCAACUUAUUUUGGAUCCUUGUGGAGAGUUUAAUCUUAGAGUUUGUAAAGCUGUUGUGUUUUUAGAGUCACAUGGAUUGUUUUGACAUUUAAUAACCAAGUCGUGAAAUAAAAUUACAGUUGUGGAUUUCUGUCAUUUAGUCUGGACUAAACAAAUAACAGCAGCAUAAAUCUCAAACGUCAUUAUGAGGAGUCUGGAUUGAGUUUUCUCACUUGAUAAUGAUCAAAACAUGAAGUU